UAAUUCCGUAAACUCCGCUCCCCCUCAAAAGGUUGCACAGGCUUCCAAACUCGGUUUCCUGCACUCUUUGUUUCCCUACUGCCUUGUGAUCUCUCUAGUCUUCAAACAACAGAAAAAACAUGGCUGCGACCUUGGUUGGAGGAGCAUUUCUCGGCUGUGCAUUUAAUGUGCUGCUCGACCGUUUGAGUUCCCCGGAGCUCAUCAAGUUUUUCCGGGGUCGAAAGCUUGAUGAAAGUCUCCUCAAGAAGCUGGAGUUGACGUUACUUGAACUCAAUAAGGUGCUCAACGAUGCAGAGGAGAAGCAGAUCACUGACCGAGCCGUGAAAGCUUGGCUGGACGAGCUUAAAGAUGCUGUCUACCAUGCCGAGGACCUAGUGGAUGAGAUCGGUACCGAGGCCUUGCGGAGCAAGGUGGAAGCCGAGUACCCAAGAGGCAAACAAAGUUUACAGGAUUCUCUGAUCUCGACUUUUACUGGGUUAUUUGACCGUGGUGGUAUGAACUCCAAAUUAGAGAAAAUGAUUGGGAUGUUAGACCAUUUCGUGAAAGCUAAAGACGUACUUGGUUUGAGAGAAGUUGCUGGACUGAACUGGUCCCAAACCAGGGUGCCAACAACUUCUUUGGUGGAUGAAUCCUGUGUUUAUGGACGAGAGAAUGACAAGGAAGCGAUAAUGAAAUUGUUGCUCUCUGAUGGAGAAGGUAGUAACAAGAUUGAUGUGAUUCCAAUUGUUGGGAUGGGUGGGAUGGGCAAGACCACCCUUGCUCAACUUUUGUACAACGAUGGCAGAUUGGAUGAGCACUUUGUUAAGAAAGCAUGGGUAUGUGUCUCUGACGUAUUUGAUGUCGAAACUGUCACAAGAACAAUUGUCGAGGCAAUCGAUGGGCCGAGUUUGGGCGCAAGGGACCUAAACUCACUUCAGGUCAAGCUGAAGGAAUCAUUGAGUGGGAAAAAGUUUCUUAUUGUCUUAGAUGAUGUUUGGAACGAGAACUAUGACAAUUGGAACGCCUUGAUGACUCCAUUCAGAUUUGGAGCACACGGGAGUAAGAUUAUCGUUACAACGCGCAAUGAAAGCGUUGCCUCUAUCAUGCAAACAGUUCCUUUUCAUGGUUUGCAGAAAUUACCAGAGGAAGAUUGUUGGAAAUUGUUUUCCAAACAUGCAUUUGAGAAGGGAGAUUGCAAUGCUCAUCCUAACCUUGAAAGGAUUGGUAAGGCUAUAGUGAGAAAAUGUAACGGUUUGCCUUUAGCUGUAAAAACAUUGGGUGGUCUUUUGCGCUCCCAACGAGAUCCUAAGGAUUGGGACAACAUUCUAAAAAGUGCCAUAUGGGAGUUAUCAGAGGAGAAGAGCAAUAUCCUUCCAGCAUUAAGAUUGAGCUAUCUUUAUCUCCCCUCGCAUUUGAAAAGAUGUUUUGCUUGCUGUUCCAUAAUUUUUAAGGACUAUGUAUUCAACAUGGACGAAUUAGUCUCAAUUUGGAUAGCAGAAGGUUUUUUGGAGAAGCCCAAGAAUAAAAAGACAGUGGAAGAAGAAGGUUAUGAGUGCUUCCGCGAAUUGCUUUCAAGGUCAUUUUUUCAAAGAUCAAAUGGUAAUGCUUCUUUGUAUGUCAUGCAUGAUCUUGUUCAUGAUUUGGCUCGAUAUGUGAUGGGAGAUUUCUGUGAUAGGCUAGAGGAUGACAACCCACAUGGUAUUUCUGAAAAGGUACGUUAUUUCUCAUUUGCUCAAAGUAGAUUUGAUAGCUUUGAGAAGUUCAAGGAAAUAAAGGAGGCUAAGUAUUUAAGAACCUUCCUACCAUUAAAGCAUAAAUAUAUUGACGUCUGGUGUUUGAGCGAAAAGGUUGUGGAUGAGAUUUUGCCGGGAUUGACACGCUUACGGCUGUUGUCGCUGUCAAAAUAUGGGAUUAAAGAAUUGCCUUAUUCAAUUGGCAAUUUGAUACAUCUACGCUUUUUGGACCUUUCUCGCACCAAAAUCAGAGAGUUGCCGAAAUCAGUUUGUAAGUUGUAUAAUUUAGAAACAUUGUUGUUAUUUAAAUGUGAUCUUCUUACAACAUUACCGGCAGAUCUUGUAAAUCUGAUUUCACUGCGUCGUCUUGAUUUAAGGGGAACAAACUUAAAAGCGAUGCCAAUGAAUAUAAGUAAGUUGAAAGAUCUCCAACAAUUAACUGAUUUUGUAGUAGGAAAGUGCACAAGUAUUAAUGAGUUAGGAGAGUUUCAUUGCCUUCGAGGAACAAUCUCCAUCACAGGAUUGCAAAAUGUAAAGAGCGGCCAUGAUGCAUUGGAAGCAAAGAUGAGUGAGAAAAAGCAUCUUGAAAAGCUCGCGUUGGAAUGGGAUAGCACUACAGAGGAUUCACAGAAUGCAAGAGAUGUACUUGGAAAGCUAGAGCCUCAUACAAAUUUGAAGCACCUUGAGAUUAAAAACUAUGGAGGCACAAGAUUUCCUACUUGGUUAGGAAAUCAAUCGUUUUGCAAUAUGGUGUCGUUAUGUUUGGUGAAUUGCGAGAAUUGCUUUUUCUUGCCCCCACUUGGUCAAAUGCCCUCAUUGAAAGAGCUUAGCAUUGAAAGGAUGCCAGGAAUAUCGAGCGUGGGUUGUGAAUUUUAUGGAGAGAGUGGUUCUUCAAGAAAACCGUUUCAAUCUCUCGUGACUCUACGUUUUAAGAAAAUGUCAGAGUGGGUGGAUUGGUGUAUAUUAGAUGCUGGAGAGUUUUCUCGGCUUCAAAGGCUUGAGGUUAUCGAGUGUCCCAAGUUGUUUGGACACUUACCGACAAAUUUGUCUUCUCUGGUGGACCUUGGCAUAAAGUAUUGCCCAGAGCUUGUGUCUUCACUUCCAGAUACUACUUCUUUGCGCAGGCUAUCAUUGAUCGAAUGCCAAGGGAUGCAGUUGGAGUGGCAAGGUGUGCCUUCGGUUGAAAAGCUGUACAUUUCAAGCUUCACAAGUUUGAAGGAAUUUGGAAGCGAGCUGGUAACACUAAAAAAUCUGAAGGAGCUGACUGUUGACAAAUGUCCAAGUCUAUUAUAUUUCCCCAUAUCUGAGGAGAUGAGCCAUUGCUACACGUCCCUUGAAAAAUUGAAGGUGAGCAAAUGCGAUACCCUUAAAUCCCUCCCGCUCGGUUUAUUCCCGCAGCUUCAGUCUCUACAAAUUGAGGAUUGUGUAAAUUUUGAGACCCUGUUGAUUCCAGACGGGAUUGAGCUCAAUCUGACAUCACUUUCCAUUCAUGAUUGCAAUAAUAUGUUAUCUUUUCCCUGCGGAGGAUUACCUGCUCCAAAUCUGUCUUCUUUAAGUCUCCAUCGUUGCAAGAAGCUGAAGGCUCUGCCAGAACAAAUGCACACCCUCCUCCCAUCUCUUGGGGACUUAAUGUUACAUGAUUGUCCAGAAAUUGAGUUUUUUCCUGAAGGGGGUCUACCCUCCAAAUUAAGUUAUCUUAAUAUCAGAGAUUGCAAGAAACUUGUUGGCGGCCGAAGCGAUUGGGGUUUGCAAACACUACCCUCCCUCAAAAUACUUUAUCUGUUCGGUGAAUCUGAAGAUGCGUUGGAGUCAUUCCCCGAGGAGGGGCUGCUGCCCUCCACUCUUAAACAUCUCGGGCUCAUAAGAAUGCCGAAUCUCAAAUCACUCAACAAAAGGGGCCUUCAACAUCUUGGCUCUCUCGAAACCAUGGAUAUUUGGAAUUGCCCUCAGCUCCAAUCCUUGCCAGAAGAGGGGCUUCCCACUUCCCUCUUUCGGCUAUUUAUUUUGGACUGUCCAUUGCUGAAACCUCGUUGCCGCAGGGAGGAAGGGGAGGACUGGCAUAAGAUUGCUCACAUCCCUCUUAUAGAAAUCGAUUUUAAAGCAAUCGGUGAAUAAGUCUAUCCAGGAUACGCGGCCGGGGGAAACCUAAGCUUCCCACUCAGAGUUUGAAAGUUAGUUGACUGGUGACGAACCGUUGGAGGCAUCUACAGGUAUAUAUAUGCAGGUUGGUAUUCUACUGAGCAUAAGCUCUUGCAGAAUCACAAGAUCUCAAUCAUAGUUGUUAUUUGAUAACAACUUUUGGUCCGGUUGCAUUGAAUGGCUUCCAAAAGUAGACAAAUCUUGGGUGGCCAAAAUUGUAUGAGAAGCGAUGGCAGAUCAUCUAGGUCGUGUUUGGAUUAUGACUUUGUCAAGGAAAGUACUCAUAUCGCUUUGGCAUUACAUGAUUGUGAUCAAACCAGUUUUCAGUGUG